rnacentral:misc_RNA from 1 species
AAAAAAAUAAAAAAAAAAAAAGAAGAAAAAUCUGAAUAUCAAACAAAGCUGAGCUUAGGUCAGGAUCUUGAGGAAAAGAAAAACACAAGCGUGGACUUUUCUAAAAAAAUAAAAUAAAACCUACAAUCCAUUUUGUCAAAACUAAAUAAUUGCAGAAAUAAAGAGAAAAAGACAAAGCACAUCGCAAUAAUCGAGCAAAGAUAAAGAAACAAAGGGUAUAAACUUAUUGAUUACUCUCUUAAUGCCAUAUAAGUUAAGCGCAUGUACUUGCUUAAUCAUCCAUAAUCAAGAACGAACCCCAAUUUGUUUAUUUAUUUAUUAUUAUUUAAAUUAAUUAAAUCCGAAAAUAUCAUGUUAAAAGAAAUCCAACAGCCUCUGUAUCUGUUUCCCUGUUUCGUUGUCUGUUGGCUUCCUUUAGCGCAGCUUAGCUUACCCGUUGAAGUUUGAACCUUUCCUUCUCUCUCUGCGACAUCAUGAUGAUGCUUGGAGCUCAAUUCCAAGUCCCCGCACUAGAUGCUUUCAGGGUUUCAAGGGCAAGUGAUGGUGGAGGAGGUUUGAUCCCGAAUUCUGGUAGGUGCUUGUCGAUUCAAUUCGGUUUCAAAAGAAGCCUAAAGUUACAGUGUCGCGGUGGACGUAAAUCAAUCCUCAUCUCCUGCAACUCUUCUCGUGGAAGCUCCUCCGAUGGUGGUGGCCAAUCUACCAAUGCCCAUGAUGACCACGAUCACGACUUUCUCCAAGCUUCCCUUCUCAUUUCAGAAACUCGCAUACACUACCUUAUGCGGAGACAAGGAUUUCAAGAAGAGAUGAGAUGGCGAUUACCUGGUAGAUGGAACCCAUUUGCUGUCCUUUCAAAGGAAUCAAGACCCGAUAUGAGUUUUAUAGGACAUGAGUUUCUUGGUCGCUUCCAAAAUCCCACUAUUUUUCUUAAAGUUUCUUGUGAUGGAGACUUCUUGCUGCCAAUUAUUGUUGGGGAAUUUGCUAUUGAGAAACUUGUAGAUAACAUUCUAGAAGGAGAUGAUAAUGGGGACUGUCCAGACCAGUUUCAGCUUGUGAAAAAUCUGGUGGAAAGAAUUGGUUAUGAAAUAAAAAUGGUGAGAAUUACACAGAGAGUGGUUAACACUUAUUUUGCAAGGGUGUAUUUUAGCAAGCCAGGAGAAAAUGAAAUUCUAAGUGUAGAUGCACGGCCGUCUGAUGCCAUUAAUGUGGCAAACAGAUGCAAGGCCCCAAUUCUUGUAAGUAAACAAAUUGUCUUCACAGACGCUAUCAGAAUUAGCUAUGGGAUUGGAGAUAGGAAGCCAACUUAUGAUAUAUCCCUUGACAGGUAUUGAACUUGCUUUAUUUUUUAAGCUUCCAAUGUUUGUGUCGCUUUCUUGUGAUUCUAAGUAAGAGUUAAGUUCUGUCCAGUCCUGCUGAUGGUCCAGAUUCACUAUCUGAGGAACUUGAUAUUGUGAAGAAUAUGAAUUUAGCUGUUAAAGAGGAAAGAUAUGGUGAUGCAGGUACCUUCUGGAAAAGAAAAAUAUUUUUCCCAUUACAUUUAUAUUUCUUUCAUCAUUUAAAUAUUUGCAUAUUUCCACUUCGCUUUGGUGACAGAGUCAAUGCUCUUGAUUGUUAGAAUAGUUUUAAAUUGACUGCUGAUUCUUGUAGCCAUGUGGAGAGACAAACUGAUGGAGCUUCGCCAGUCAAGACACGAAGAGUAGCCAACUUUUUGGACUUGAUCUAUCUGGAGUUACCACUUCCUGGCGUGUGGUUUCCGGCCGAGUUUCAUGGCUGUCCUCUUUGUGCUCAUUCUAGACAUAGUUUCCAAUAAAAUGUUUGGCAUAGCAUUUUAUAUAUCGUGCAAAUGAAAAGGACAGUCUGAGGAACUCAUGAAUGGUUAAAGAAACUCAAAAUAGUGGUACGUGAAGCUCAAAACUUGCUUUGAGAACUGAGAUACCUGAUUAUUUAAAUUUACAUUUGGUGGUCCCUUGAAUUGUUCAAAAUCACAAAGAUGAUCAAUUCUCUCAUGGAUGUGGAUUUUGUUGUUUCAAUUAGAAUGUAAAUGAUGCACGUCAAGAUAUGGAAAUGAUGCUUAUCAAGAAAGAAUGUAUUAAGUUCCUUGUUAAUUCUGGUGACACUGAAGCCAGAAACUUCUUUGUUUAGAAGUCUUUCCACGAUGAAGGAUGUGAAUGUGAAUCCCAGCUAGUACACUAUGACGAGUUUCCAGCUCUCCAUUAGGUUUUCUUUAUUUUCCUACUUUGUCAGGACAAAUAAAAGUGAUGAGAGCUACCAUUGUCAUUCUGAUGUUUGCUGGCAGCUGACAUUCUCCAUCAAAAGAGUCAUGAAAAAGGGAACAGAAGCCUCUGUAGUUUGACAAAAAAAUGUCAAGAAAGUUACUGCGCCUUGAAUUUGUCAUCAAGAUUUAAUACUUACUGAUUAACCUGCAAUUUGUUAUGCAAAGAUUUUUGGAUGUGUUUUAGCAUGCUUGAAAUGUUAAUAUACUUGUGUAUAUAGAGAACAUUUUCUUGUUUGAAAGCAUUAUAUUAUCUAUAUUCAUCUUAGCUCAUUCCUUGUUUG